rnacentral:rRNA from 1 species
AGGACGAACGCUGGCGGCGUGCUUAACACAUGCAAGUCGAGCGGUAAGGCCUUUCGGGGUACACGAGCGGCGAACGGGUGAGUAACACGUGGGUGAUCUGCCCUGCACUUCGGGAUAAGCCUGGGAAACUGGGUCUAAUACCGGAUAUGACCUCCUAUCGCAUGGUGGGUGGUGGAAAGAUUUAUCGGUGCAGGAUGGGCCCGCGGCCUAUCAGCUUGUUGGUGGGGUAAUGGCCUACCAAGGCGACGACGGGUAGCCGACCUGAGGAGGGU